ensembl:lncRNA
CACAGAACACUGCAAUAAGAGUUGUUAGGACUCGGGGAACAAGGAAGGAACUGACUUUAUGUUGGUCGGGGGUGGAUUGAGGAAAAGGACUUUCUGAAUUGAAGUAGAAUUCUACGGAAAGUAUAAAUAGGAAAAAUAUUUCCUUCACAAUAGCAACACAACUCAUGAAAUACACAGAAAUAAGAGAGUAAAUGAGUGUAUGAAUUAUAUGAAGAAAACUAUGGAACUCUACCAAGGAGUCUUAAUGCCUGGUGAGAUGUCCAUUUUCAUGGGGUGAUUCAACACCAGGAAGAAGCCUUUUCUCCCCACAUCAAUCUACAGAGUCAGAGAAACUCUAGUAGGAUUCUAAUAGGAUAUUUAUUGAAUUGUGACAAAGAAUUUCAAAAGUUCAUUGGGUAUGAAAUAAAAAUGAGAUAAUCUCAGAAAAUUUUAAAGAAGAAUAAUUGUUAGGAGGGUCAGCCUGACUAGCCACUCCAAUAAGAAGUAAGAGUAACUUAAACAGAAUGGUACUGAUGUGAGCAUGGGCAAGACCAGGAGAAGAGCACGGUCGUGACGCAACCCCAAGCACACACUGGAAAUGGAACAGGACAGAGACGGCAUCACUCGGCAGAAGAGGAAUGAAGCUGUUGGUAUAGAAAAAGCAGUGAGCAAGACUUUUCUGAACAAGUCAAGAAAUCUAGAAUCCUGUGGGUAAAACAAUGCGGAAAUAACCCAACCGGAAGCCCCAUGACAAGGGAGCCCAAGGGGAGCGUCUGAGAGGAAACUUGGGAGCGCAUCUUCCUCACCUGAAAGAUGGAGGCAGCUAUUCCUGCUUUGUUCAUCGUGCUGGUCUUUUCAGUAUUGUUUGAGUUAAUGGAUGUGAAAACUCUAUACACACUGUAAAGGACUGUGGCUCCCAUUGUCCUCAUGGAGGGACCAUCUUCACCUGGAUUCAAGUCAGUCAGAGACAGAGAUUAAUAAAUUGCACCACCCACUGAUUUUACAUUUCAACUUUCUUACAUGUGUCUUAACGAGUUGAUUUAACUUUGAAAAUUUAAACUUAUUUGCUACAAGUAAAUAUAUACACGUGUAUUACACACACCAGGGAAGGAAGAGCUUUUUCAAUCAUGUCUGGCCCGUUUCCUGGGAGCGAUCUUGGUUUCCCUACGUAGGCUGACUCUGCAUCCUUAACCACCACUUCUCCAGCCCCAGGGAAGCCGCACUGAAAUCAGCCCAGCACACGUGGAAUGAUUUCUGUGCUUGGCCCCGAGAUGAUGCGGUGUGGGAGGGCAGAGUUAGGAAACAUCUCUGUCAUAAAUAAGUGUGUGGUCUGUGUGCAGACACCAAACCUACUGUGAAAUAUUAAGCAAGGCAUGUCUCUUUCUACACUUUCUUGUACGUGUUGCCCUCUUCCAACCCAACCAGCUAGGACACUGGCUUACUGCCCCAAAGUGUAACAGGUACAGAAAUAAAUCAAAUAGAAAGCAGACAAAUCAAGGCCCAGCUCAGCUUUGGAGCCUCCUGGUAUCACUGCCUGUGUGGUCAGCUGCCACAUGGUACCAGGGAUUUGUCUGUGUGACCAACAGUGUACAGCAGAAGUGACGGGCGUCCUGGCCGAGAUUAGCUUAUUCAAGAUGUCGAUCUCAGUUGCUUUCUGGCUCUCCCAUCACUCGUUCUGGAGAGGCCGCUGCCAUGACACCAGAGCAGGCUUAUGAAGAGGCCCAGAUUGUGAGCGACUGAGGCCUCCUGCCAACAGCCACGUGAGUGAGAUCAGAAGCGAGUCCUCUGGCCCCAGUGAAGCCUUCCAAUGACAGCAGCCCAACCAGCAGCCUGCAAGAGAUUCUCUGCCAGAACCUCCCAGACAAGCUGCUCCCAGAUUCUUGACCUGACAAACUGUGUUGUUUCGAGUUAAGUUUUGGGGUAAUGUAUUAUACAGUGAUAGAUAAAUAAUAUGGUCACAUCAAUAAAUCUGCC